rnacentral:rRNA from 1 species
AUGCAAGUCGAACGCUGAAGCUUGGUGCUUGCACUGGGUGGAUGAGUGGCGAACGGGUGAGUAAUACGUGAGUAACCUGCCCUUGACUCUGGGAUAAGCCUGGGAAACUGGGUCUAAUACUGGAUAUGACAUGUCACCGCAUGGUGGUGUGUGGAAAGGGUUUUACUGGUUUUGGAUGGGCUCACGGCCUAUCAGCUUGUUGGUGGGGUAAUGGCUCACCAAGGCGACGACGGGUAGCCGGCCUGAGAGGGUGACCGGCCACACUGGGACUGAGACACGGCCCAGACUCCUACGGGAGGCAGCAGGGGGGAAUAUUGCACAAUGGGCGGAAGCCUGAUGCAGCGACGCCGCGUGAGGGAUGACGGCCUUCGGGUUGUAAACCUCUUUCAGCACGGAAGAAGCGAAAGUGACGGUACGGCAGAAG